UGUACACACCGCCCGUCACACCAUGGGAGCGGGUUCUGCCAGAAGUAGUUAGCCUAACCGCAAGGAGGGCGAUUACCACGGCAGGGUUCGUGACUGGGGUG
rnacentral:rRNA from 1 species